UAAUUUUGAUAACAACUAGAAAAUCAGUUCUCAAUGACUCAAUGUUUGAAUACGAAACUGGUCUGUAGAAUCCGAGGUUGAAUCGUAGAAUAUGUGUAAAAUAUGGGAUGUACUGAAAAAUGUAUCGAUGAAAUCAAUUUGUGGGUCCGUUAAGACAUCCGGAGGUAGCCAGGGAUGCCCGAGUAAUUUUUUUUGAGCAACUCGUAACUACGACAACUAAUUUAUGUGGCAACUUAACUCCAACACAAUUUUUAAAAAUUAUGACCUAAACAACUUAAUGAAGCUUCCUAAAAUAAAUCAACAGCUGCUGAAUACAGUAUCUAUUUACCAACAUUUCCGUCACACCCUAAGGAUCUCGGACAAAAAUCAAUGUUUUUCUUAUUUGAAAUUCCCUUCAACCUUGCUACCGAGUUAUUGAUUAUAGUUAAUAGAUUUGUAUAGACCACAGGCGUAUUAAUUUGUCCAUGGUAUAGACAUUUUUUCAAAAAUUAUGUUUCUUAUUAAGUUCUAAUUAAUAAGAGGCUUUUAUAAAAAAACUUGUGCUUAAAUUGCAUAAUCUUAGAUCUUAAAAUUUUUUACUUGAUCAAUUUUUAUCCUUACAUAAUAUUUUUUUUGUACAUCUUUCAUUCUUCAUUUUUGUUAAGAGUUGUACUUUUGUACUAUCAACUUAAAAGAUAAGUAACAAAUAUUUCACAUAACAAAAAAAAUUGUAUGAUAAUAAAUGUAUUUAAGACUUACUAUAUUAUAGUAUGUAUAUACUUGUAAUAUAUAAAUAAUUUACUUUAUAAUUUAUAAUUCAUAAUUUAUACUCUAAUAAACGUAUGGGAUGAAUAUGUUAGGUGAAGACAUAUUUUGGUGUAUAAAAAUAAACGUAAUUAAAUAUACUAUUUUAAAUAUUAUUAAGCAAUCGACAUUUCUAAACGAAUACAUCAUCGUAUAACCGUGAAAACAACAGGAAGUCAUUAAAAUUCCCAGAUAGACGCUCAUUAAAAAACAAGCCCAUAUUUGGGCAUAAAUGAAAUUAAUCAAUGAUGAAAUAUCGAGCAACAACAACACAUUAUGACUCACUCAAAGGCCUAUCAAAUCAUAUCAAUUGCCGCUUCUGGUAAACACCUUCGGUCUUCACAUAAACAAAAUUAAUCAAUAAUAAGAUAUCGAACAACAACACGUAAUCAACAUUCCACAUGCUCACUCAAAGGCCCAUCAAAUCAUAUCAAGUACCUCUUCAAUUUAAUAUUAAUUUCUGCAUAAGCUGAAAUAGGUACACAACACAAUCCCAAGCAAAAAUACAAUAUCACCUCAAACUAUAAAAUGCCAAAUAGCUAAAUGUUGUACAAUGAACAAUUAUACGGCCGAUAAGCUAUACCACAUAUAACUUCAUCAAAAGGCAACUUACAAGAAUCAAUGCACAUUACAAUAUACACAAAAUAUACAAUGACGGACAUUUAAUUCUACUUCAAUAAAAGUACCUACGACCAGAACACAUAAUAAUACAACACUCGUUUAUAAUAUCAUCACUAAAAAUGUCACGUAAAAGAAGAAAAGUGACAACACCACGGGAGUACAUGUUCUAGCAAAACGUACCCUUGCAAAUAAUGUGACAAAUGCAAAAACCAACAUCCAAGAACAAAGGCAUUCGAAUGCAUGGUUCACGUGGCGAACGCAACCAGUCAAUGGUAACGUGGCACGACAACAAUUAAGUGGGAAAAAACAAUCGACCUCCUAUAUAUACACAACGCGCAAACAACAAGAACGGCUCAUUCUUGCUCUACUCUUUAUGCUCGUCGGAUCCAGCCGCAGCAAUAUACGAUGCACUGUGUCGGCGCAGUGCAUCAUCACAAUCAACAGGGCACAUCACGUCCACACAACUCGUCUCAAGAAAAACGCGAAUUUCAUUUUAAUUUGAUCUUUCUUCUCUUACAAAGUUAAUUAAAUUAUUGCGUUUAUUCUAACACCAGGUAUGAAUGAAUAUUAGCAUAUUCUGCCACAAAAAAAAUCUGUUAUUUAAAUUUAUUGCACUGCCUUAGAAAUCUCAUUCCUUAAUCCUAAUCUAUUCAUUACAUUAAGGUUUUCUAAGUGUUAUUAAAAUUAACAACAAGGUUGUAUUCCACCACAAAGGCUAAGAGUAAACGCACUGUAUUUAGAAAAAGGGACGUAGUAUUGUAUAAGUCGUAAAGUAAUAGUAACGAGCAUCGAUCCACACCCACCAGAGACGUUACCACCACAACAAGGAUCUACAUUAUCCACAUCAAUACAAGUAGGUUAUUGUGAUUGGCCAAGCAGACAUUUUUAUUUACUUUCAAAAUGCCAAGUUGUUUUGUGUGUGGCCGAACAAACAAUUCCAAUUCCAAAAAUCUUGGAAUAAGUUUCCAUCAAAUUCCAAAGAAUGAUCCAAAUUGGUUCCCAUGGUUGGAUUUUAUUCCAAAAUGUGGUGUUGACCAUUUGAAAAUUAAACCUAAGAGCAUUAUUUGCUCAGAACAUUUUUCCAAAGAUUGCUUUAAAAAUUAUAAUCGCACAAAAUUAAUAAACGAGGCAGCUGUUCCAUUCAUUAUAAUUAAACGUUUAAAAUGAGCAAAAGUUGCAAUUCCUGAGGUGAUAUACUUGUAGCCAGUAAUUCAAAUCCUUCUUUGGUUAAAUCAACUAUUUAUUUGAAAGAUUGAAAAUGAUGGUAUUCAAAUGGAAUAUGUGGAAUCUUUUGAUUCAGUUAGUGUUGAGGAACCAUCAAACUUCUCAAAUCUAAUUUUUACUGACUGGAACCAAUUCUAUUGUGCACCGUCAACAUCAUUUCUAAAGAAGCCUCAUACUCAGAAUGUAAAAUCAAGGUUUUUAAAUUCUGAAGUUGCUAAGGAAAUCAAUAAUGAUUCUCAAAGAAAAAAUAUUCAAAAUUUUACAUAUCAUCUUUAAUGUGUGAAAAUUUUGAUCAGAGAAAAAAAUUAAAGAUCUAAAUCAACGAUUAAGACAUAACAAAAAACAAAUUUCUUCUUUAAAAAUGUGCACAUAAAUAGUUAGGGCGAUGAGUAUGAAAUGUUCACUUUGACAUUUUUCAAACUUGAAACUUUUACCUUUCUUGAAAUAUUGAAAUUGAUAUUUUUUUAAUUUUGUGUUUUUGGUAUGUUUAAUACAAUCAUCAUUAAAUGGUCAAUAUUAUUUAAUUUUCCGAUCACGAUGUUGAGAAGAUACUAUAUUAUAUAAGAAAG